CCUACGGGGUGCAGCAGUCGAGAAUCAUUCACAAUGGGGGAAACCCUGAUGGUGCGACGCCGCGUGGGGGAAUGAAGGUCUUCGGAUUGUAAACCCCUGUCAUGUGGGAGCAAAUUAAAAAGAUAGUACCACAAGAGGAAGAGACGGCUAACUCUGUGCCAGCAGCCGCGGUACUACAGAGGUCUCAAGCGUUGUUCGGAAUCACUGGGCGUAAAGCGUGCGUAGGCUGUUUCGUAAGUCGGGUGUGAAAGGCGCGGGCUCGACCCUCGGACGGCACAUGAGACUGCGAGACUAGAGUAAUGGAGGGGGAACCGGAAUUCUCGGUGUAGCAGUGAAAUGCGUAGAUAUCGAGAGGAACACUCGUGGCGAAGGCGGGUUCCUGGACAUUAACUGACGCUGAGGCACGAAGGCCAGGGGAGCGAAAGGGAUUAGAUACCCCUGUAGUC
rnacentral:rRNA from 1 species